rnacentral:rRNA from 1 species
UACGGAGGGUGCAAGCGUUAUCCGGAUUCACUGGGUUUAAAGGGUGCGUAGGUGGGUUUGUAAGUCAGUGGUGAAAUCUCCAAGCUUAACUUGGAAACUGCCGUUGAUACUAUAAAUCUUGAAUGUUGUGGAGGUGAGCGGAAUAUGUCAUGUAGCGGUGAAAUGCUUAGAUAUGACAUAGAACACCAAUUGCGAAGGCAGCUCACUACACAAAGAUUGACACUGAGGCACGAAAGCGUGGGGACCAAACAGG